rnacentral:rRNA from 2 species
UGGGGAAUCUUCCGCAAUGGACGAAAGUCUGACGGAGCAACGCCGCGUGAGUGAAGAAGGCCGAAAGGUUGUAAAGUUCUUUUGCUAGGGGAGAAUAAGUGUGGGAGGGAAUGCCUGCACGAUGACAAGGACUAGCGAAUAAGUCCCGGCCAACUACGUGCCAGCAGCCGCGGUAACACGUAGGGGGCGAGCGUUGUUCGGAAUUACUGGGCGUAAAGGGCAUGUAGGCGGCUUGGUAAGCCUGGCGUGAAAGUCUGCAGCUUAACUGUAGGGAUGCGUUGGGAACUGCUUAGCUUGAGUUACGGAGAGGGAGCUGGAAUUCCUGGUGUAGGGGUGAAAUCUGUAGAUAUCAGGAAGAACACCGAUGGCGAAGGCAAGCUUCUGGCCGACAACUGACGCUGAGGUGCGAAAGUGUGGGGAUCAAACAGG